rnacentral:lncRNA from 1 species
UAACAUGUUUAUUAUGAUUUCUUUGAGGCUUGAUGAAUAGAUUUUGUUCUAUUUGACUGCUGGAAUCGUAGGCAUGUAGAUAGUUGUAUUUGCAUGUGCAUUGCACAUUUAGUUAUUGCAUUGUGUUUUGUUGCUUGGGGACAAGCAAUUGAUUAAGUUUGGGGGUAUUUGAUGAGUAGGUUUUAUACCUAUGAAUCUGAUAUUAUUAAACUUAAUUAUUG